rnacentral:rRNA from 1 species
CCUACGGGUGGCAGCAGUGGGGAAUAUUGCACAAUGGGGGAAACCCUGAUGCAGCGACGCCGCGUGAAGGAAGAAGUAUUUCGGUAUGUAAACUUCUAUCAGCAGGGAAGAAAAUGACGGUACCUGACUAAGAAGCCACGGCUAACUACGUGCCAGCAGCCGCGGUAAUACGUAGGGGGCAAGCGUUAUCCGGUUUUACUGGGGGUAAAGGGAGCGUAGGCGGCGAUGCAAGUCAGAAGUGAAAGCCCGGGGCUCAACUCCGGGACUGCUUUUGAAACUGUGUUGCUAGAUUGCAGGAGAGGUAAGCGGAAUUCCUAGUGUAGCGGUGAAAUGCGUAGAUAUUAGGAGGAACACCGGUGGCGAAGGCGGCUUACUGGACUGGAACUGACGUUGAGGCUCGAAAGCGUGGGGAGCAAACAGGAUUAGAUACCCGGGUAGUC